CGCUAUCAUUUUCUCCCGAGUCUGCAGCCGGCGUCCACCGCUACAGCACGUUCGUCGUUCCUAUAGCCACGCGGCGCCUGCCGCCGCCGCCGCGCUGCAGCCUUUCGUUAGUUUUUAAUUUAAAUGUCCACCUUCUUCGCCUAAACAACCCCCUUCCCCCUUCCACAACUAUCGUCACCACCUCAUCACAUCACCGCAACCACAAUUCGACAACUUCAAUUAUAAUGGUCAUCCUCGAAAAGGGUCGCGACGGACUGGAAGUUUUAGCGGCAACAGCAUGGCGCCGAAAACACGGCGUAUACUAUUUUGGAAUAAAAAAAUAUAACAAAUUAGAGACUAUCGAGACCUCAGAGACGCAAACGUCCUUCAUCCAAAUCGCCCACACUUCUCAGCACGGAGGAAGUUACGAGAAAGUCAAUGGUAAAAUCAGCAAAUCAAAGCCAAUCAAAAUCUGUCACAAGAACGGUCGUCGGAUCCGCUGAUCGUGUGAUAUCUCAACUAUUCUGCUACUAUCCGCAUCGCGCUCAUACCUAGUUUGUUUUUCGUCCCGAAACAUGUUAGGUAACCUAAAUUAUAUAACAAUUUUCGUUUUAAAAGUUUUAAAAAAAUAUACUCCUCCGUAUAAUAUUAAUUAUACCUUGGGCUCGUGCAAUAUCAUUUCGUUUCGUUUUAACGCUACUUAUGGUCAAACAAGCGGCUGUAAUUGUAGUUUUUGUUCGUUCCCGCAACGAUAUAGUAUUCAACCAAGAAUAACAGAACGAUGAAACAUAUGACUAACUUUAAGAUUAGCGUAAGACAAAAAAGGUCGGUCGGGCGUCGUCACGAAAAAAAAAAAAAAAAAAAAAUCAAACAAUACGCCGGUCGACUUUUCUUUUUAGUGCGUAAGAUCGAUUUUCGAAGACUGAUUUUGUGUUACCCCACUUAAACUGUUAAAUUACCACAUAAGCGUUACAAAACGUAAGUAAUAUUGUAAAUAAAAUUACGUUUUUGUAAUACGAAAACGUAUUGAAUAUAAUAAUAAGUUAUUAUAAUUAUUGUUAAUAUUGUAACAUAAGUAUUGAUAUGAUAUUUUAUUGUUUUAUACAAAAGCAAUAAAAUCACAAUGUCUUCCAUUAAAUUAAUAUUGUCUUGAUGAUAAUAAUUAUUGUUAGAUUAAGUGUACUGUAACGCGCGUUCGCUGGUUAGUGUACUACACACGCGUGUGUACAGUACAAUAUAAUAUAAUAAUAUUGUAUUAAUAUGUUAACACGAUAGAAUUAUGUUUAAUUAUAAUAAUUUAUUUUAAGUCUUUUACAUUAUAGGGUGGUUUAAGUAGGUUAUUAUAGUAUAUCUUUAUUAUUUUUAAAAAUAAAAUUAUUAAUUAUAAUUAAUAUAAAUUGUUUUAUUUAAUAAAUACUGGCCCUUUGAACCGGGAGUGACGUUUGACAAUAAAAAAUACAUUAGGUCCACGUGCCAGACAUAUUAUUAUUAUUAUUAUUUUCAUCAUCAUUUUCAUUAAUAAUUAUGUUUUAGAUAUAGGUAGUCGUUGUAUUUAUAAUUAUUAUUAUUAUUAUUAUUAUUAUUACGAUUAUCAAUGUGUAAUGUACUUAUAUUGUCAUCAUUAUUAUAUUUGGGCAUAUAAUAUAUUAUCAUAAUGUUUGGUAAUAAAUAAAAUAAAAUGUUUAAAAUAAAAUCACAGUAAAUAAUUAUAAUCGAAAAUUCACAUAAUAAUUAUAUUUCAAUGAUCGAACUUUGUCACACUAGUACACUAUUUUGCAAUUAUGAUAACGCGAUUAAAUGAUUUUCGAAGUUAGUGUAUUAUUGGCUAUAGCCUAUAAGCAAUCGAUUUUGGCUGCACUUAAACACAUUGACUCGGGUGGGAUUUUCGAAAAUCUUUUAGUCCAUUCGGCUGACACUCACGCGUUUCAUAACAACCUAGACGGAGCUGUGAAUAUAAUAUUCAAUACGAAAAAUUAAUUAAAAAUCUCAAAUAGUGUACAAAAUAUAUAUUAAAAUCAUAUUUGAAAUUCUAGCAAAUUUAUUUGUGUAAAAUUUAAAAAUUAACUAUUAUAUCUUUAAAAUUGAUAAAAAAUAAUAAUUUGAAAUAAUUUAAAAUACAUAAAAAAAAAAAAAAUUAUAACAAAUUAAUUGUUCAAUGAAUUUAAAAAAAGAAAAUAAUUUUAAAAUAAAACACAAUAUACAAAAAUUAACAUUCAUAAAUAUCUUGUCUAAUUUAAUCAUAGCAGUUUUUUAGUAAACAUCAACAUUUGAGUGUUAAAAAUUAUUUUAAUAAUACAAUGAUUGACAAAAUUACAUAAAUUUCUAUAAAAACUGUAUAAAAAGGUGUAAAAUAAAUGGAAAAUAAAAUCACAACAUUUUUACUGCAGAAACAAAAAUAUUUGCUACAAAAUUACAAUCCUAAAAUUUAUAAUUUCUAACUAUGCGCGCUGAUGCUAUUUUGCACCUAUAUUCCAUUAUUUUAUGAUAUCAUCUGGCACAAGUGAUUUAAACGCAAAUUUUUCAUCUUAUCCCACAAAAACCGUAUGUUUGAGGUGUCCUUAUGAAAAAAAAUCGAGACGAAAGGGAACACCAAAAUAUCCUAAACGUUUAAAAUGUUAAGUUAUUCUUAACUAUUUUCAGUUAUAUAAUAUAAUUUUAAAAUAAUAAUAUUCUAUUGUCAUUUACACAUUGUAGGUAUAUUACUAAUGUAAACCUUUAUAACAUAGAUCAUAGACAAUUUUAUUUAUUUUAUUGUAAAAACUUAAUAACUGAAUAUAAUAUAGUUAAGCGCACGAUGUUAAAAUUCGAAAUUUGUAUUUUUGUGCGUUCACAACAGAUAUUAUUGUAUCGAUAAAUGACUGGUGUUUGUAUGAUGAUGAAUAAUGAUUAUGAUAAUUAAUGAUAACUGGGACAAUAAAAAUUUAAUGCCAUGCAAAUCUGUUCAAAAAAAUAGUAAAACCUAACUUACCUAUUUUCUAUUAUGAUUUUUUUAAUUUCACUAAUAAAAUAACAAAUAUUGUUUAACGGAAAAAAAAUUGUUUAGAAAUAAAUAGUUUUAUCAAUAAUACCUAGGUACUAAUUUUAAAUGAUUAUGUUAUUUAUAAUUCUAUUCAAUUCAAUAAUGCUACAAAAAAUAAUUAAAUUUUAAAAUUGUCAUGACUAUUUGUACAAAAUAAACAAUAUUUAAGGGCAAAAUAAUGUUAAACAGUAUAGAUACUUAUAUUAUAAAUGCGAUAGGCAUGUUUAAAAUGAUCAAUAUGUAAUCUUAUAUUUAGAAUGGCUAUAGUUUGUAUAUUGUAUUAUAUUAGUUAUGAUUUCCGAAUCAAAUUUGGUAAAUUUGUAAAAUUCUUAUAUUUGAUCACAGCUAGUAAAAAUAAUAAUAACGAGGGCUUGGAUUUGUAAGCAAUUGCGUAUUUUUAGGUAUUUAUACUUAAAACUAAAACUUUGAAUGCUAAAAUUUAUAUUUGCAUGAAUGUCUAUAUUUCUAAAUAAUUGCAUAAUAUAAAUUGCCUAUUUUUAAAUUUGUUCUAUUUUAAAUAUACGUCAACAUUGUAUUAUGCGAUGUAAGAAAAGUUUUGAAUAUGAAAAUAUUGAAUUAAAUUUUUGUAUAAUUUUGGUAUACAUUGAUAUACAUUUCAUAAAAAUAAAUAAUUUUGAUAUGAAUUCACACAAAUACAUACAUAUUUUUAUCUUAAAAUAUAUGUAUACUUGGUAUUAAUAAAUAAUAACCAAAAAUACAUAUUUAUAAACUUAAUUAAUAAUAACUAAUAAGUGUUUUUCUUCAUAUUUAUAUUUAUAUGAGUCAAUGAGUGUAUAUUUUACGCGUUUUUUUGCAUAUUAAUCCAGGUCCUUUAUUAUAGUUACAAUUGUUAAACAAUUACCUAUUUGUUUUUGUAUCUAAUGUUUAAUUUAAAGAAAACGGUUUUAAUUCUAAAAAUACACGUGAACUUCAUUUAAAUGUACCUAAUAUGUAAGUAAUAUCUAAACAUAAUGUAAUAAUAUUAUAUAAAUCGAUAAAAUUGUAAAUCAAAUCUUAAAUAGGUAACAUCAUACAUUACAUGCAUACAAAUCCCAGUCGCAUAGUUAUACGGAUAUAUAAAUGUAUAAUAAUUAAUAUAUCAAAUUAGCUAAGUGUUGAUUUGUUGAUUUGUUUUAAAACAAAUUUGGACAAAACAAAAUCUAUUUAUUUAUGAUUAUAGUACCUUCUAAGUUCACAUAUUGUAUCGAUAGUAAAUUCUGUUAGAAGAAAUAAAUUAUGCUUAUACUUAAAA